rnacentral:rRNA from 2 species
AAUCCAUAGGUUAAUGAGGCGAACCGGGGGAACUGAAACAUCUAAGUACCCCGAGGAAAAGAAAUCAACCGAGAUUCCCCCAGUAGCGGCGAGCGAACGGGGAGGAGCCCAGAGCCUGAAUCAGCAUGUGUGUUAGUGGAAGCGUCUGGAAAGGCGCGCGAUACAGGGUGACAGCCCCGUACACAAAAGCGCAUGUGCUGUGAGCUCGAUGAGUAGGGCGGGACACGUGGUAUCCUGUCUGAAUAUGGGGGGACCAUCCUCCAAGGCUAAAUACUCCUGACUGACCGAUAGUGAACCAGUACCGUGAGGGAAAGGCGAAAAGAACCCCGGCGAGGGGAGUGAAAAAGAACCUGAAACCGUGUACGUACAAGCAGUGGGAGCCCCACCACCAAAGCAUUUGCUGUA